UACAGGGGGGGCAAGCGUUGUUCGGAAUUACUGGGCGUAAAGGGCUCGUAGGCGGCCAACUAAGUCCGACGUGAAAUCCCCAGGCUUAACCUGGGAACUGCGUCGGAUACUGGAUGGCUUGAAUUCGGGAGAGGGAUGCAGAAUUCCAGGUGUAGCGGUGAAAUGCGUAGAUAUCUGGAAGAACACCAAUGGCGAAGGCAAUGUUCUGGCUCGUUUCUGACGCUCAGGUGCGAAAGCCAGGGGAGCGAACGGG
rnacentral:rRNA from 1 species